UACGGAGGGUGCAAGCGUUGUCCGGAAUCAUUGGGCGUAAAGAGUUCGUAGGUGGUAUGUUAAGUCUGGUGUUAAAGCCCGAAGCUCAACUUCGGUUCGGCACUGGAUACUGGCAAACUUGAAUGUGGUAGAGGUAAAGGGAAUUCCUGGUGUAGCGGUGAAAUGCGUAGAUAUCAGGAGGAACAUCGGUGGCGUAAGCGCUUUACUGGGCCAUUAUUGACACUGAGGAACGAAAGCCGGGGUAGCAAAUGGG
rnacentral:rRNA from 1 species